GCUCUCUGGGUGGCGAGUGGCGGACGGGUGAGGAAUACAUCGGAAUCUACUUUUUCGUGGGGGAUAACGUAGGGAAACUUACGCUAAUACCGCAUACGACCUACGGGUGAAAGCAGGGGACCUUCGGGCCUUGCGCGAUUGAAUGAGCCGAUGUCGGAUUAGCUAGUUGGCGGGGUAAAGGCCCACCAAGGCGACGAUCCGUAGCUGGUCUGAGAGGAUGAUCAGCCACACUGGAACUGAGACACGGUCCAGACUCCUACGGGAGGCAGCAGUGGGGAAUAUUGGACAAUGGGCGCAAGCCUGAUCCAGCCAUACCGCGUGGGUGAAGAAGGCCUUCGGGUUGUAAAGCCCUUUUGUUGGGAAAGAAAUCCAGCUGGCUAAUACCCGGUUGGGAUGACGGUACCCAAAGAAUAAGCACCGGCUAACUUCGUGCCAGCAGCCGCGGUAAUACGAAGGGUGCAAGCGUUACUCGGAAUUACUGGGCGUAAAGCGUGCGUAGGUGGUCGUUUAAGUCCGUUGUGAAAGCCCUGGGCUCAACCUGGGAACUGCAGUGGAUACUGGGCGACUAGAGUGUGGUAGAGGGUAGCGGAAUUCCUGGUGUAGCAGUGAAAUGCGUAGAGAUCAGGAGGAACAUC
rnacentral:rRNA from 1 species